rnacentral:rRNA from 1 species
GACGAACGCUGGCGGCGUGCCUAAUACAUGCAAGUAGAACGCACAGUUUAUACCGUAGCUUGCUACACCAUAAACUGUGAGUUGCGAACGGGUGAGUAACGCGUAGGUAACCUGCCUGGUAGCGGGGGAUAACUAUUGGAAACGAUAGCUAAUACCGCAUAAUAUUGAUUAUUGCAUGAUAAUUGAUUGAAAGAUGCUAUUGCAUCACUACCAGAUGGACCUGCGUUGUAUUAGCUAGUAGGUGAGGUAACGGCUCACCUAGGCGACGAUACAUAGCCGACCUGAGAGGGUGAUCGGCCACACUGGGACUGAGACACGGCCCAGACUCCUACGGGAGGCAGCAGUAGGGAAUCUUCGGCAAUGGACGAAAGUCUGACCGAGCAACGCCGCGUGAGUGAAGGAGGUUUUCGGAUCGUAAAGCUCUGUUGUAAGAGAAGAACGGGUGUGAGAGUGGAAAGUUCACACUGUGACGGUAUCUUACCAGAAAGGGACGGCUAACUACGUG